UAUCGCUGAUAAUUUCAGUUUUUAGCGAAAACGAUCGGCGAAACUUUUGAAGAUAUAGACAGGAAUAAUUUUUCCUUAAACUAGAAUUUAAAUACUAAAUGAUGAUAUAAAGAGUUGCUAAAAGUGAUAUCAUAUGAUAGGGCAAUAAAAUGUUACAAGAUAAUUAAUUUAUUUAAAAACUAACUAAAUAAUUAAAUAAUAAUUAGAAUUCUCUAGAAUAAAAUUGUGUCUAUCAUCAACUCCAACCCCCCACCCCUCAUUUCAGCCAAGAACGUCCACCCCUCUCUUCCAUUAAAGACAAGAGCUCAACCUUUUCAUUUCCAAAUCUUUUGUCAUUUUAAUCGGUAAAUCGAUCGGGAAAUCGGAUAUCCGCCAGAAAAUCAAGCGAAGGAGCAUAUAGUGCGUUUUGAUCACAAAGGAGUGGAUUUAGAGGGUAGAGAAGUAUCAAGGUGAAAUAGGCUUAUGUUCAUAAGCCUGCGAGGUUAGAGUCGACAUUAUGUCAGUGGUGUUGCGCAGCUUUGCAUCUUUGGCGAGUCACUGGUGGUCAACUUGGUUUAGUAGUCGUGGCAUGUUAUGUAAUAGUUUAAUCUUUAACCUUCCGCUGGAUAAAUGUUAAGUUUUUAAAUGUAAUAGAUUUUAAUUAUGCUUUUAAGCUAAAAAGAAAAAGGAAAAAUUUCAGCACGGGUUUUCGAUACUGAAACGUGACAUCACUUAUUCGGUGGGUUACCUACCGGGUAAGGGGUGUUACAAGUUUUGGUAUCAGAGCCUAAGUUUAGGCGGUUCUGGAAAGAAGUGAUUCAGUAAAGUGUGUAGAAACAUGCCACAUAGGUUUAAUUGUCUGUUAGUACCAGUGACUCGAUGCAGCUGCUUAUGUCUAAAGUGGAAAGAAGUUAACAAGGUACGGGACAUAGUUUCCCGUGUGACCGAGAAAGAUGUUAUAUGGGACUGGCCACCCCAUAUAGCUCUAAUCUCGGUAGCGUCGGUAUGUGUAAAAGAUUUAAAAAAAAAAUUCCGGGAGGAUGGGUCUGAAAAUGUUGAUGAAAAGUAUGUCCUAAUGAAAGAUACUAAUAAAUAUAUGCAGAUUAUGAAAGAGUAUAAGUAAAAGAGAAGAAAAUGAGUUAAAGGAAUGAUAUGGAAAGAAAGUAAGUUAUAGACUAAGUGACCAUCAUGAUAUAAAAGUGUAACACGAAAAUUCACAAAGGUAUGUGGAUUGUCUGAUAUAAGAUGGAUUAAGAGUCAUAAAGUAAUAUCCUAUAAUGAUAAACAAAAGUAUAGAAAUAUGUGAAAGGAAAUGUGUUUGGCAAAAUGAUAAAUAUUGAUAUGAAAACAUAUGAAACUAUAAGGCAUUAUAUGAAUAAAACCAUAAAUGUGCGAAUGAGAAAAUGCGACGAAUAAGAAAUAAAUUAUAUGAUCUGAACAUGUGUGCCCCUAUAUGGAUUACAUGUGUACUUCGAAUCGGGCAAUAUGAGAUAUGACGUGAUGUGAUGGAAAUAUGAACUGAAUAAUCGUGCAAGACAAUAAAUUAUAUGAUUGGAAAUGUGAACUCCGUGAGAAUUAUGUGUGCGCUCGAAUACGAGCUAUAUAAAUGUUAGAACCGAAUGAUGAUUCAGAAAUGAAAUGGAAAAUGGGAAUGUAUGCUCUAAGCGAGCUGUAUAGUAUAUGAUAAGAUAUGUCUAAAAAUAUGAGUUUGAAAUUGAGCUAUAUGAUAUAAAAUGGUAUUCUGGUUGAAAGUGUUGUCUGUGAUCUGUAAAUGUGUUAGUUAUGGAUAAGAAUGAGUUUUGAAAAUAAAUAUGGUUGUUGAUGAAUACUGACUUGAUAUUUGAAUUAUGUUGUGAUUUGGUGGUUUGAUUUGAUAAUCUGUGAUUAACAUUGUAUCUUGUUGGUUUUGGGGAAGCACUGGUUAUAGAGAAAACGCUGCCCAAUUUUUGCUAGAAAUUGAUCAGAUAAAUUAAUACGAAGUUGUGGUAAAUAAACUGAUAAGUGAUAAUACAUGAAGAGAAUGAUGUUACAUGAUGACUUAAGAAAGGAAAAAGGGAAAAGAUAAGAAGUGUUGUGAAUGAUAAUAAAGGAAAACGUAAUGAAAUGAUGAUAUGUGGAAAGUGAAAUGCACCCUUCGUCGGCUAUAAGUGCCCGAAUAGGGACUAUGCAAUUGGGACUAUACAAUAUAUGAUGAGUAUGUGAAUUAUACAUAUGCGUGAUGAAUAUGAUAUGUGCGCCUCAUGUGGACAAAGAAAAGAUGCAAAUAACAUGGAAAUUACUAUGUAAAGAAAUGAUAAUGUGACAAAUGUGCUUGAAGUAUAUUAGAGAUAAUGAUAAUAUUAUUAUGUGAUCGCAAAAUGUGGCUAUGUGUUAAGAUGUGAUUAUGUGAUUUUGUAUGUCAUUCUGUGUUUGGUUAUGGAAGUGAGGAUACGCUAUGUAGAUGAGGAUAUAGGAUGUCGUGGAAUGGCAUACGUAUAUGCGACGCUUAUAGGAAUGAUGUAAACCCGAGGGAAUUUCGAGGACGAAAUUCCUUUUAGGGGGGAUGAGUUGUAACAUCCCGAAUUAUAGGCACCAAUAAAAGGUUUGGAUAUGUGGUGAGGAAUAGUAGUUAAGUUAAACCGUAAGGUAUAAAUUUGAUACGAAAUGCCGAUUAGUCAAUUUUCGGCAAUUUCUUUUGUCCGUGUAAAAUCAUAAAUCGAAGCUAAGGGGUAAUAAUUUUAUAAAUUACAAAUUAUGGCCUAGAAUAAUUGUUGAUAAUGUGAGGAAUUGUUUUGGGCCAUUUGAAGGUAAUUAAAAAAAUUUCUAUCGCCGAUAAUUUCAGUUUUUAGCGAAAACGAUCGGCGAAACUUUUGAAGAUAUAGACAGGAAUAAUUUUUCCUUAAACUAGAAUUUAAAUACUAAAUGAUGAUAUAAAGAGUUGCUAAAAGUGAUAUCAUAUGAUAGGGCAAUAAAAUGUUACAAGAUAAUUAAUUUAUUUAAAAACUAACUAAAUAAUUAAAUAAUAAUUAGAAUUCUCUAGAAUAAAAUUGUGUCUAUCAUCAACUCCAACCCCCCACCCCUCAUUUCAGCCAAGAACGUCCACCCCUCUCUUCCAUUGAAGACAAGAGCUCAACCUUUUCAUUUCCAAAUCUUUUGUCAUUUUAAUCGGUAAAUCGAUCGGGAAAUCGGAUAUCCGCCAGAAAAUCAAGCGAAGGAGCAUAUAGUGCGUUUUGAUCACAAAGGAGUGGAUUUAGAGGGUAGAGAAGUAUCAAGGUGAAAUAGGCUUAUGUUCAUAAGCCUGCGAGGUUAGAGUCGACAUUAUGUCAGUGGUGUUGCGCAGCUUUGCAUCUUUGGCGAGUCACUGGUGGUCAACUUGGUUUAGUAGUCGUGGCAUGUUAUGUAAUAGUUUAAUCUUUAACCUUCCGCUGGAUAAAUGUUAAGUUUUUAAAUGUAAUAGAUUUUAAUUAUGCUUUUAAGCUAAAAAGAAAAAGGAAAAAUUUCAGCACGGGUUUUCGAUACUGAAACGUGACAUCACUUAUUCGGUGGGUUACCUACCGGGUAAGGGGUGUUACAAGUUUUGGUAUCAGAGCCUAAGUUUAGGCGGUUCUGGAAAGAAGUGAUUCAGUAAAGUGUGUAGAAACAUGCCACAUAGGUUUAAUUGUCUGUUAGUACCAGUGACUCGAUGCAGCUGCUUAUGUCUAAAGUGGAAAGAAGUUAACAAGGUACGGGACAUAGUUUCCCGUGUGACCGAGAAAGAUGUUAUAUGGGACUGGCCACCCCAUAUAGCUCUAAUCUCGGUAGCGUCGGUAUGUGUAAAAGAUUUAAAAAAAAAAUUCCGGGAGGAUGGGUCUGAAAAUGUUGAUGAAAAGUAUGUCCUAAUGAAAGAUACUAAUAAAUAUAUGCAGAUUAUGAAAGAGUAUAAGUAAAAGAGAAGAAAAUGAGUUAAAGGAAUGAUAUGGAAAGAAAGUAAGUUAUAGACUAAGUGACCAUCAUGAUAUAAAAGUGUAACACGAAAAUUCACAAAGGUAUGUGGAUUGUCUGAUAUAAGAUGGAUUAAGAGUCAUAAAGUAAUAUCCUAUAAUGAUAAACAAAAGUAUAGAAAUAUGUGAAAGGAAAUGUGUUUGGCAAAAUGAUAAAUAUUGAUAUGAAAACAUAUGAAACUAUAAGGCAUUAUAUGAAUAAAACCAUAAAUGUGCGAAUGAGAAAAUGCGACGAAUAAGAAAUAAAUUAUAUGAUCUGAACAUGUGUGCCCCUAUAUGGAUUACAUGUGUACUUCGAAUCGGGCAAUAUGAGAUAUGACGUGAUGUGAUGGAAAUAUGAACUGAAUAAUCGUGCAAGACAAUAAAUUAUAUGAUUGGAAAUGUGAACUCCGUGAGAAUUAUGUGUGCGCUCGAAUACGAGCUAUAUAAAUGUUAGAACCGAAUGAUGAUUCAGAAAUGAAAUGGAAAAUGGGAAUGUAUGCUCUAAGCGAGCUGUAUAGUAUAUGAUAAGAUAUGUCUAAAAAUAUGAGUUUGAAAUUGAGCUAUAUGAUAUAAAAUGGUAUUCUGGUUGAAAGUGUUGUCUGUGAUCUGUAAAUGUGUUAGUUAUGGAUAAGAAUGAGUUUUGAAAAUAAAUAUGGUUGUUGAUGAAUACUGACUUGAUAUUUGAAUUAUGUUGUGAUUUGGUGGUUUGAUUUGAUAAUCUGUGAUUAACAUUGUAUCUUGUUGGUUUUGGGGAAGCACUGGUUAUAGAGAAAACGCUGCCCAAUUUUUGCUAGAAAUUGAUCAGAUAAAUUAAUACGAAGUUGUGGUAAAUAAACUGAUAAGUGAUAAUACAUGAAGAGAAUGAUGUUACAUGAUGACUUAAGAAAGGAAAAAGGGAAAAGAUAAGAAGUGUUGUGAAUGAUAAUAAAGGAAAACGUAAUGAAAUGAUGAUAUGUGGAAAGUGAAAUGCACCCUUCGUCGGCUAUAAGUGCCCGAAUAGGGACUAUGCAAUUGGGACUAUACAAUAUAUGAUGAGUAUGUGAAUUAUACAUAUGCGUGAUGAAUAUGAUAUGUGCGCCUCAUGUGGACAAAGAAAAGAUGCAAAUAACAUGGAAAUUACUAUGUAAAGAAAUGAUAAUGUGACAAAUGUGCUUGAAGUAUAUUAGAGAUAAUGAUAAUAUUAUUAUGUGAUCGCAAAAUGUGGCUAUGUGUUAAGAUGUGAUUAUGUGAUUUUGUAUGUCAUUCUGUGUUUGGUUAUGGAAGUGAGGAUACGCUAUGUAGAUGAGGAUAUAGGAUGUCGUGGAAUGGCAUACGUAUAUGCGACGCUUAUAGGAAUGAUGUAAACCCGAGGGAAUUUCGAGGACGAAAUUCCUUUUAGGGGGGAUGAGUUGUAACAUCCCGAAUUAUAGGCACCAAUAAAAGGUUUGGAUAUGUGGUGAGGAAUAGUAGUUAAGUUAAACCGUAAGGUAUAAAUUUGAUACGAAAUGCCGAUUAGUCAAUUUUCGGCAAUUUCUUUUGUCCGUGUAAAAUCAUAAAUCGAAGCUAAGGGGUAAUAAUUUUAUAAAUUACAAAUUAUGGCCUAGAAUAAUUGUUGAUAAUGUGAGGAAUUGUUUUGGGCCAUUUGAAGGUAAUUAAAAAAAUUUCUAUCGCCGAUAAUUUCAGUUUUUAGCGAAAACGAUCGGCGAAACUUUUGAAGAUAUAGACAGGAAUAAUUUUUCCUUAAACUAGAAUUUAAAUACUAAAUGAUGAUAUAAAGAGUUGCUAAAAGUGAUAUCAUAUGAUAGGGCAAUAAAAUGUUACAAGAUAAUUAAUUUAUUUAAAAACUAACUAAAUAAUUAAAUAAUAAUUAGAAUUCUCUAGAAUAAAAUUGUGUCUAUCAUCAACUCCAACCCCCCACCCCUCAUUUCAGCCAAGAACGUCCACCCCUCUCUUCCAUUGAAGACAAGAGCUCAACCUUUUCAUUUCCAAAUCUUUUGUCAUUUUAAUCGGUAAAUCGAUCGGGAAAUCGGAUAUCCGCCAGAAAAUCAAGCGAAGGAGCAUAUAGUGCGUUUUGAUCACAAAGGAGUGGAUUUAGAGGGUAGAGAAGUAUCAAGGUGAAAUAGGCUUAUGUUCAUAAGCCUGCGAGGUUAGAGUCGACAUUAUGUCAGUGGUGUUGCGCAGCUUUGCAUCUUUGGCGAGUCACUGGUGGUCAACUUGGUUUAGUAGUCGUGGCAUGUUAUGUAAUAGUUUAAUCUUUAACCUUCCGCUGGAUAAAUGUUAAGUUUUUAAAUGUAAUAGAUUUUAAUUAUGCUUUUAAGCUAAAAAGAAAAAGGAAAAAUUUCAGCA